rnacentral:rRNA from 1 species
UACGUAGGGUGCAAGCGUUGUCCGGAAUUAUUGGGCGUAAAGAGCUCGUAGGCGGUUUGUCGCGUCUGCUGUGAAAACUCGGGGCUUAACCCCGGGCCGCAGUGGGUACGGGGCAGACUAGAGUGCGGUAGGGGGAGACUGAAAUUCCUGGUGUAGCGGUGAAAAUGCGCAGAUAUCAGGAGGAACACCGGUGGCGAAGGCGGGUCUCUGGGCCGUAACUGACGCUGAGGAGCGAAAAGCGUGGGGGAGCGAAACAGGG